GCUAUGGUGGCCGAGUGGUCUAAGGCGGUAGAUUUAAGUUCCUCGUGACUUUACAAUCUCUAUUGGGGCGACCCGCGCGCGUUCGAACCGCGUCCAUAGCA